rnacentral:rRNA from 1 species
UAGGGGGCGAGCGUUAUCCGGAUUCAUUGGGUGUAAAGCGCGCGUAGGCGGCCCGACAGGCCGGGGGUCGAAGCGGGGGGCUCAACCCCCCGAAGCCCCCGGAACCUCCGCGGCUUGGGUCCGGUAGGGGAGGGUGGAACACCCGGUGUAGCGGUGGAAUGCGCAGAUGUCGGGUGGAACACCGGUGGCGAAGGCGGCCCUCUGGGCCGAGACCGACGCUGAGGCGCGAAAGCUGGGGGAGCGAACAGGAUUAGAUACCCUGGUAGUCCCAGCCGUAAACGAGAAAUACUAGGUUUCGGGGACCAAAGCUGUCCGGUUCCGCAGCAAAAACAAUAAGUAUUCCCCCUGGGGAGUACGUUCGCAUGAAUGAAACUCAAAGGAAGUGACGGGGACCCGCACAAGCGCUGGAGCAUGUUGUUUAAUUAGAAAGCAACGCGAAGAACCUUACCAAGUCUUGACAUCCCUGUGAAUAGUGGUUAAUGAUGCUAGUCCUUUGGGACAGAGGAGACAGCUGGUGCAAGGAUUUCGUCAGGUUGCGUCCUGAGAGAGUGGGGUAAGUCUCUCAAUGAGAGCAACCCCUAUC